rnacentral:lncRNA from 1 species
GGUUCAUCUCCUGGAGCUGUCGAUCUAGGAGGUCCUCUCGACUACGAGUCUCGAGGGUCUUCUGGUAGAGUAAAGGUAGAGAUCCUCCAGGAGUGGAAUCAUGAUCGGAUUGAGGGUUCUCCACCCUCGGAUUCCCUUUUUUGGGGAAGACAGGAUGACUGGCCCAAGUGGCCCGUCCUACUGUCGGGUCUUGGAACUCCGACGAUGCCCUCUCUAAUCGCACUGACGCUUGCGG